rnacentral:lncRNA from 1 species
GUCACACUAGCCACUCGGCGAACAUGCUCGUCCCCUAAGAAGUGAAAACAAGAUUCACCAAAGGAAGAUCUGUCACAAGGAAGCCAUUCGAUUGGCUGCUAAGUGGUCACCAGGCAAUAAGCAUUACAGGAAUCAAGAGGGAAAAUCCAUUUUGACUCAUUAGUGAGCAAAUGGAAUCGUCUACAUAGAGCUUUGGCUUUUCAAGCCAGAAAGGGUCUCAGCUCUCAGUUAACCUAGGAAUUGUGACAUCACAAAGACAAGGUCUAAAUGACUGAAAAGAUAAAGACCUGGCCGGUAUUGGGGCAAAAACAGGACCCUCUGACCAAAAACUGGAGCGGCUGCCCUCAAUCAUCCCCUCAGAGCUGUCAGGGUCCCUGCUCCUCCCCCACCUAGUCUAGUCUGAAGAGAAUCCCAGAGUCGCCUCAUUAGAACAACAGACGCUCCCAUCACCCAAGAAAUUCCAAGGGACUUAGGAGCCCUGUGUCAGGAACCCGGUCAAAGACCAAACAUCAGAACAAAAGAUGCUCCUAGUGCUCCUGUCACUUAGGAAAUGACAAGGAUCUCAGGAGCCCUGUGCCUGCAGCCAAGCAGAGACCAAUACUGAGAUUUCCUCUUCUCUCAUGACAACACACCCAUGCGCGUCCCUCCUUGGCCUCACAGUCCGGCUCCUGCUCCCUGAAAUCACUUUCCAAAAUGAGCGGCCUGCCUGCAAGCCUGAGGCUCAGGCUCACCAUCUCAGGGACCCCGGGCUAAGAUGCCAACCCAGGAAGGGCCAAAGGGACCUCCAGGAAGGACGACGAAGGGCAGCCCCAGCGUGCCGGCUGGGCAGGAGGCCUGGAGGGUAAUCAGCCGAGAGGGAGGAGAACAGAGACUCAGGAGGGGUGUGUCCAGGAGGGAAGCUGAAGCUCACAGACUUGACGUGGGACGGGACGGACCGCAUGAGAAGCCGUCCUGAGAGGCCAGGAGGAGGGGACUGGAAGAGCACGUCCCUGUUUACGUGGAAUCGGAGGUCAUCCCCACUGUCAGACGGCAGCUCCUGGGGUAAACGCACGACUGUAGAGGGAAAGUUGGUAACAUGGAUCAACACCCUUAAAAAAAUGGCCAAACCCUGCACCCUCACGAAAGAAUCUGAAAUGGAGAACUUUAUGAAAAACUGUGAAGCAGCAUGUUAUUUAUACCAGCAUUAAAAAAAACAAGAAGCAGAAUUGCCUUGAGUCCAACCCAAGUGCAGUAAUUCCAGGACAUCUGCUGGAAGGAGGAUCAUGAAGCCAUGAAGUGACAGGCUCAACGCCAGCUGGGAGCCCACAUUGUCCAGAAGGAGGACGGGAGCGGGAGACGGGGAGAUCCUAACUAAAUCUGCAGCUUGGUUGACAGUAGUGCGCCACUGUUCAUUUCUUAGUCGUGGUGACUAUGGUGGUGUGAGGGGUUCACAGAGGAAGCUGCAUGAAGGAGAUGGGGGAACUCCAUACCAACAUUGCAACUCUCCUGUAAAUCUAGAACUCUUUCCAAAUACAGUUUUAAGUGAUAUGUGUCUGUAUUUGGGUUCUCCAGAGAACCAGAACCAGUAGGAUGGAUGGAUGGAUAGAUUAGAUAGAUAGAUAUAGAUAGAUAGAUAGAUAGAUAGAUAGAUAGAUAGGUGAUUGAUAGAUAUCUCUAGAAAGAGAUUUAUUACAAGGAAUUGGCUCAUGCAAUUGUGGAGGCUGAGAAGUCCUAUGAUCUGCAGUUGGCAAGCUGGAGGCCCAAGAAAGCCAGAGAGCCGGUGGUGUGGACUCCAGGCCGAGUCUGCAGAGAGAACAGGAGAAGACUGCUGUGCCCGUCACGCAGUCAGGCAGAGAGAGAGAGGCUGAAUCCUCCUUUGCUCCCCCUUUUGGUUCUGUUCAGCCCUCAGCGCACUGGAUGAGGCCCACCUACCCUGGGGAGCGCCACCUGCUUUCCUCAAUGCACCACUUCAAAUGCUGAUCUCUUGUGGAAACACCCCCAUGGGCAUACCCAGAAAUCAUGUUUACCCAGAUGCCUGGGCAUCCAGUGAUCCAGUCAAGUGCACACGUAGAAUUAACCGUCACAGUAUCCAGGUGGGUAUUUGCACAGCCCAGCCCUGCAAAGAGAUGGACUCAAGAGGGAUCACAGUAUUUGCCUCUGAGGAGAACAACUGGGGAGUAGGGCUCAGGAUGAGACGGAGACUUACCUUUGCACUAAAUAUCCUUUUGCACUGUUGUAAUUUUUUUAAACAUGUACACAUAGCACUGCAUUCAAAAAAUUAAAAGUGCUUUCCACACUAGCCAGGGGGGGUCCAUACAGUGUUGGUCUGGGUUCCCACCAUAACUUGAAGGGAAACUCACAGUGUCCAGAGCCCUGGGUGUCCCACAAACGGCGGAGGAGGAUGUCCUCCCCUUCCGCACAGGAGGAGCCCACUCAGGUGGCAGCCGCCUUGACUUCCAAAUGGAACAGCACAUCUACAAAAGGCAAAGUGAUGGCAUCUACAUCGUAAAGCUGAAGAGAACCUGGGAAAAGCUUCCACAGGCAGCCCGUGCCAUUGUCGCCACUGAAAACCCGGCCGAUGCCAGUGUCACAUCCUCCAGGAAUGCUGACCGGUGAGCUGUGCUCAAGUUUGCUGCUGCCGCUGGAGCCUCUCCCACUGCCAGCUGCUUCUCUGCUGGAACCUUCACUAACCAGAUCCAGGCGGCCUUCCAGGAGCCGUGACUUCUGGUGGCAACUGACCCCAGGGCUGACCGCCAGCCUCUCACAGAGGCCUCUUGUGUUAACCUGCCCGCCACUGCUCUGUGUGACACACUCUCCUCUGCUAUGUGGACACCACCAUCCCUGCAAACACAAGGGAGCCCACUCAGCAGGUCUGAUGUGGUGGAUGCUGGCCCAGAACUUGAGUGCACGUGUGGCACCAUCUCCUGUGAACACCCACAGGAGGUCGCACCUCAUCUCUACUCUACAGAGAUAUUGAAGAGAUUGAAAAGGAGAGCAAGCCACUGCUGGAAAGGCUGUGACCAAAGAGAGAAUUCGGGGUGGAUGGACUGCUCCAGCUCACCCCGAGGCCCCACGCUGUCUGAAGGCAUGCUGGUCCCCUCUGUGCCCGUCCAGCCAUUUCCUACUGAGGAUGGAGCCCUCAGCCUGCCACCGAAGACUGGGCCGCAGCUCCCACUGCACAGGCCGCUGAAUGGGUAGGAAGAACCACUGACUGCUCUUGAGUUGCUCUUCCACAGACUCUUGAACAGAAAACGGAAAUCAGGGAGAUGGAAAAUAAACAGCUUCUGAAAAAUAAAAAAAUGAAAAGUAACAGUCACGGGCACGCACAACAUCCCAGGGCACUCCCAGGACAUGUUCUCUGGGAGGAAGAGGGUGAGAGGGGGUUUCACGUGCAGGAAGUGCCCUGGGAGAACAGCUGUGGAAGGCCAGAGCGGGAAGCAGGACUGGGCAGAGGCAGGAGUGCAACUGCAGCCGACCCCUGGGGACCUCCAGAGCCCAAGGGCCCACCAGAGCUCUCCCCCAUUGGGCGGAAAUGGCCGGGCCAUCGUCCCUGCCUCGGCCAGCCCCUGGACGUGCGCUGUGCUGGGCAGAGCUGAACCUGUCCAGGUGGCUCCCUGCAGCAGAGGCAAUCCCUGAAGGGGGCGGCCAAGGGCAGCAGCUGGGACAACAAGCUCUUUCCCCAGAAAGGGCGACGCAUCCAUGUGUCCCUCACAGUAACAAAAAAUGCUCAUAAUAACAUGCAAAAAUGAUUAUGAUGCGUUCAGAGAAAAAAAAACCACAGAACAAAUUUUUAUCUACAGGAUGCAAGCACUGGGCAAAACAAACAAUGAGAACAAUUUUGUCUGUGUGUAUGAGGGAGACCAUCACUGAGCUAACAUCUGCGCCAAUCUUCCUCUAUGUUAUGUGGGACCCCGCCGCAGCGUGGUUUAAUGAGCCACGCCAGGUCUGCGCCGGGAUCCGAACCUGCGAACCCCAGGCCACCAAAGCGGAGUGUGCAAACUUAAUCACUACACCACCGGGCCAGCCCCAGUCAAAACAAUUUUAAAAAACUUUUUCUUUUCCUAGAAAAAGGGCUAGAAGAAAAUAUUCCAAAAUGUAAAAUAGUCACUUUUUCUGGAAGUGGGACUGCACAUAAUUGUUGUUCUUCCUUUUACUUUUCUAUACUUUUUCCAAAUUUUCUUUAAUUUCUAAGUAGUCAAAAAUUUAAAAAGAGCAUCCUCGGAUCUGCUUUUGUUGUUUCUAUCAUUAAACUUUGAUGCUGUUUCAUGAAUUAAUUCUGUGCUUAUAGAGAAGGACGAGGAAUAUUUAAUCACUAUCAAAUAAUGUGUAAACUUUCAGGAUACUAUAUAAGAAAGAAAUUGAUCCUAUAAGCCAAUAUACUCCCCGCCCUUUUAGGCAAUCACAUAUUCAGCAGAAAAAAAUCAGCGGCCCCAAACACUUGUUAGAUCCGAAUGACCUGGGUCAAUUGUUUCUUGUUCUCAGCACAUAAAGCUGCAGUUAUGAAUUUCUCCAGCAGAGGGCGCUGGUAGCUCAGCUCUAGAUGGAAAUCUUGGCUGCUUACCUUGCUGCUAGGUUACUGAGAUGGGGAAAUUGCAUUGGCUUUUUAGUCCUGAGAACAAAAGUUAUUUAUUUAGCAGGUUAUAUAGCAAAGUUAGUUCAAUGUCAGAUCAGCUGAAGCAGGGGAGAGGAAGACGUUCAUAAGUAUAGUUGUCUGCUUAUUAUUUUUAUUAUUAUUUUAAAUAAUAGAGUCGGCUGACCUGCUAGUGUGCUCCCUGAUCUCAGACUGUGCCAUAAAGAUUGCUUCUUGGGGCUGGCCCUGUGGCCGAGUGGUUAAGUUCUCGCGCUCCGCUGUAGGCGGCCCAGUGUUUCGUUGGUUCGGAUCCUGGGCGCGGACAUGGCACUGCUCGUCAGACCACGCUGAGGCAGUGUCCCACAUGCCACGACUAGAAGGACCCACAACGAAGAAUAUACAACUAUGUACCGGGGGGCUUUGGGGAGAAAAAGGAAAAAAGUAAAAUCUUUAAAAAAAAAAAAAAAAGAUUGCUUCUUGAUGUUUUAUUCCCGGGGCUAUAAUCAGAGGGAAGGCUCUAUGUCAGGAUUUCUCAAGCUUGGCGCUAUGGACAUUUUGGGCCAGAUAAUCCUUUGUUGGGGACUGUCCUGUGCAUUGCAGAAUGUUUAGCAGC